rnacentral:rRNA from 1 species
CGAAGGAUGCAAGCGUUAUCCGGAUUCAUUGGGUUUAAAGGGAGCGUAGGUGGCCUUAUAAGUCAGCGGUGAAAUCUCUCAGCUUAACUGAGAAAUUGCCAUUGAUACUGUAGGGCUUGAGUACAGAUGCCGUUGGCGGAAUAUGACAUGUAGUGGUGAAAUACAUAGAGAUGUCAUAGAACACCGAUUGCGAAGGCAGCUGACGAAACUGUAACUGACACUGAGGCUCGAAAGUGCGGGGAUCAAACAGGAUUAGAUACCCUGGUAGUCCGCACUGUAAACGAUGAUUACUCGCUGCUGGAGGGCAACCUUCAGUGGCUUAGCAAAAGCGAUAAGUAAUCCACCUGGGGAGUACGCCGGCAACGGUG